UACAGAGGGUGCAAGCGUUAAUCGGAAUUACUGGGCGUAAAGGGCGCGUAGGUUGUGAAGUAAGUUGGAUGUGAAAUGUCUGGGCUUAACCUGGAACGGCCAUCCAAUACUGCUUGACUAGAGUACGGUAGAGGGAAGGGGAAUUUCCGGUGUAGCGGUGAAAUGCGUAGAUAUCGGAAGGAACAUCAGUGGCGAAGGCGCCUUCCUGGACUGAUACUGACACUGAGGCGCGACAGCGUGGGGAGCGAACAGG
rnacentral:rRNA from 1 species